rnacentral:rRNA from 1 species
GAUGAACGCUAGCGGCAGGCCUAACACAUGCAAGUCGAGGGGUAGCAGGAUUAAGCUUGCUUAAUUGCUGACGACCGGCGCACGGGUGCGUAACGCGUAUGCAACCUACCUUCUACUGGGGUAUAGCCCGGAGAAAUUCGGAUUAAUCCCCCAUAGUACUAAUGAAUCGCAUGGUUUAUUAGUUAAAGCAUUGCGGUAUAAGAUGGGCAUGCGUCCUAUUAGCUAGAUGGUGAGGUAACGGCUCACCAUGGCUACGAUAGGUAGGGGGCCUGAGAGGGGGUUCCCCCACACUGGUACUGAGACACGGACCAGCAUGCGACAGGAGGCAGCAGUGAGGAUUAUUGGUGAAUGGGCGAAAGCCUGAACCAACCAUGCCGCGUGCAGGAAGAAUGCCCUAUGGGUUGUAAACUGCUUUUAUUUGGGAAUAAACCUCUUUACGUGUAGAGAGCUGAAGGUACCAAAUGAAUAAGCACCGGCUAACUCCGUGCCAGCAGCCGCCGUAA